GCUCAUCGAAUACGUUGUUUAUAGUAUUACAUAUAAUAACACUCACGAGUCAUAGAAACCAUUGGACAUACAUAUAUACAAUUGUAUCAUGUUGGGGCAUCCACUUUAACCAUAUAAGGAAUUAGGUUCAAAAAAGAACACUGAUCUAUAUAUUUCGAAGCAACAUUACAGGAACCCCAAUCUUCAACGUUAGCUUGUGGUUGGG
rnacentral:lncRNA from 1 species